rnacentral:tRNA from 1 species
UGCUGGAUCGGCGGGUGAGCGACGGGGCCUUGAGACGGCACCUCGACCGCAUUCGGUUCGCUCCCGGAUUCAGCUAC